rnacentral:rRNA from 1 species
GGGACAAGCCCUGGAAACGGGGUCUAAUACCGGAUAACACCGGCUUCCGCAUGGAAGCUGGUUGAAAGCUCCGGCGGUGAAGGAUGAGCCCGCGGCCUAUCAGCUUGUUGGUGGGGUAAUGGCCCACCAAGGCGACGACGGGUAGCCGGCCUGAGAGGGCGACCGGCCACACUGGGACUGAGACACGGCCCAGACUCCUACGGGAGGCAGCAGUGGGGAAUAUUGCACAAUGGGCGAAAGCCUGAUGCAGCGACGCCGCGUGAGGGAUGACGGCCUUCGGGUUGUAAACCUCUUUCAGCAGGGAAGAAGCGAAAGUGACGGUACCUGCAGAAGAAGCGCCGGCUAACUACGUGCCAGCAGCCGCGGUAAUACGUAGGGCGCAAGCGUUGUCCGGAAUUAUUGGGCGUAAAGAGCUCGUAGGCGGCUUGUCACGUCGGGUGUGAAAGCCCGGGGCUUAACCCCGGGUCUGCAUCCGAUACGGGCAGGCUAGAGUGUGGUAGGGGAGAUCGGAAUUCCUGGUGUAGCGGUGAAAUGCGCAGAUAUCAGGAGGAACACCGGUGGCGAAGGCGGAUCUCUGGGCCAUUACUGACGCUGAGGAGCGAAAGCGUGGGGAGCGAACAGGAUUAGAUACCCUGGUAGUCCACGCCGUAAACGUUGGGAACUAGGUGUUGGCGACAUUCCACGUCGUCGGUGCCGCAGCUAACGCAUUAAGUUCCCCGCCU